rnacentral:lncRNA from 1 species
AGCAGCCCCCGCCCACACGCUGGCUGAUGCACGUGUCCGGUGCCCGCACAAUGAUGGUUUUUUAGCCAACAAGGUGCUUCGCUGUUAAGUGGUGGAGGCUCAGGGAACAGGAGCUGCACGAACGCACAGGGCAAAAUCC